CAUCUCUUUAAGAUUAUGAUUUAAAGUAUAAUCUGCCCACUGAGUAAUUAAAUGGCCGCAGUAAUUUGACUGUGCGAAGGUAGCAUAAUAAUUAGCUUCUUAAUUGGUUGCUGGAAUGAAUGAUUGGACGAGGGAAUAACUGUCUCAAGAAGAAUUAAUUUUGAAUUUUUUUUUUUAGUUAAAAAACUAAAAUUUUAUUAGAAGACGAGAAGACCCUAUAGAAUUUUAUUUAAUAAAUUUUUAGAAAUUAGAAAAAUUAAUUUGGUUGGGGUGAUUACAAGAAAUGAACUCUUGUUUAAUAAUUACUGAUUGGUGUUAUUAUGAAUCUAUUUUAGUUAGAAGAAAAAUUACCUUAGGGAUAACAGCGUAAUUUUAUUUUUAAGAUCUUAUUAGAAAUAAAGUUUUCGACCUCGAUGUUGGAUUAAAAUUGAUUUUUGGUGAAGGAGCUAGAAAAUUAAGUCUGUUCGACUUUUAAAAUUUUACAUGAUCUGAGU
rnacentral:rRNA from 1 species